UCGUACAAGGUCUCCGUAGGUGAACCUGCGGAGGGAUCAUUACAAGAACGCCCGGGCUUCGGCCUGGUUAUUCAUAACCCUUUGUUGUCCGACUCUGUUGCCUCCGGGGCGACCCUGCCUUCGGGCGGGGGCUCCGGGUGGACACUUCAAACUCUUGCGUAACUUUGCAGUCUGAGUAAACUUAAUUAAUAAAUUAAAACUUUUAACAACGGAUCUCUUGGUUCUGGCAUCGAUGAAGAACGCAGCGAAAUGCGAUAAGUAAUGUGAAUUGCAGAAUUCAGUGAAUCAUCGAAUCUUUGAACGCACAUUGCGCCCCCUGGUAUUCCGGGGGGCAUGCCUGUUCGAGCGUCAUUUCACCACUCAAGCCUCGCUUGGUAUUGGGCAACGCGGUCCGCCGCGUGCCUCAAAUCGUCCGGCUGGGUCUUCUGUCCCCUAAGCGUUGUGGAAACUAUUCGCUAAAGGGUGUUCGGGAGGCUACGCCGUAAAACAACCCCAUUUCUAAGGUUGACCUCGGAUCAGGUAGGGAUACCCGCUGAACUUAAGCAUAUC
rnacentral:rRNA from 1 species